CCUUCCCAGAGCCGUCUCCUCAGCCCACCGUCCCCACUGGAGGGGUCACAGCCAUAGGAGUCACUGCUGCCGUCCUCAGUCUCCUGGUGGUCAUUGCUGUGGUGGCUCUUGUGAUGCGGAGGAGAAAUAGGGCAGGUGUAAAAGGAGGGGGCUACGCUCAGGCUGCAGGCAAUGACCAUGCCCAGGGCUCUGACUCAUCUCUUCUGACCUGAGAAGGAGAGAGCUGCU